UACUGUGAACAAGACCGACCACUACCACUGUGUGCUCAGACAGGAGGAACUCAAACAUGAGAUCUCUAUGAAGACCUUCGUGUUUAUCUGUGAGAAAGAGUGUCAUGGGGUUUCAUGGGCUGGGUGGUUUGUUGGAGGGUUUCUUUGUGGAGCUGGAUUGGUUGUUGUCAUUCUACUUUUGGCUCUACGGUUCAUCCAUCCUUUCCGUCACAGAGUUAUUAAGGUUCUGUCUACACUGCUGCCAAGAUGUGAUAAAAUCCCACAGAAUAGUGAUUUAGGCGAGAGCGGGAUUGAUUGACUGAACAAACCGGAUAAAGUUGUUAAACCUGGAAACACAGAUGACAAGGGAGCAAAUGUGCAGCAUCUCCAAACUGACAGAGCGUUAAACAUUGAACUUGGCAAACUAAUAAACAGCAGACCCACAAGAUCCCCUCUGGACUGAGUAUGAACUCUUAACUUCAGACACAGAUACAGAGUGCUCAAGAUGACAACAAAGAGGCAUCACAUCUUUUGUACCAUGGAGUAUUCAGCUGCUC